UCAAUUUCUUGCCCUUCUUCCCCUUCUCCCCCUUUUCCGAUUUCUUCAUUCUUGCAUUCUUCGUUGCUUCUUGUCUCUUUUUUUUUUCGUUUUCUUCAAGAUUAUUGUUCUACAUUCAUGAAUCUUUGGGUUUGAGAAGCUACAUUCACGAUUGCUACACAAGCUAAUUUGAGAAGCCACAUUAAUGAUCUUCAUGAUUACCAGGGUUUGAGAACGUUUUCUUCAAGGUUUGAUCGAUUGGAGAUUUUGAUCUUAACUUUCGAGAUUUUGAUUUUGAUCUUCAAGCUACAGUAACGAUUUCUUCAAGGUUUGAUCGAUGGGAGUUCUUUCUUCAAGCUUUUCCUUCAAGUUUUGGUAACUGUGUAUUGUAAUCAUUGAGAUUUUUGGUGAUUCGAUGUUCUCGAACUUUCAGUGUUCGAGAUUGUUCAAGAAAUUGUUCGUGAUCAAGAUCGUUGGAAGAACCAUUCAUUGAAAAUUAAAGAGGAUUCUUCGUGAAACUUGAGAAUCUACAAAGGAAGCGAGACGUUCACAACGCUUCUGCUACGGGAUUCGAUCCCUUCAAUUAGUAUCAGAGCCAAUUUCUUGCAUCCACGUUCUUCAUAUUUUUUGAAACAAAAUCAGUUUAGAUGUGAGUUUAAUAUUCUUCAUUUGGAAUGUUUGAAUGUUGGUUUGCAAGAUUUGAUAUUUUCGAUUUGAGCUUGUAGAUUAUUUUUAAUUUGAUUAAAUUGUAAGGGCUCGUUGUAUU